rnacentral:snoRNA from 1 species
GGGGCAUCGGUGAUGAGGUGAUAAAAAUUGUUAUCCUUGCACUUUGAUUGCUACUGGCGGUGAAGAAAGUAAUGGGGAAUUUUUCUCUGAGGUGCUC